rnacentral:rRNA from 1 species
AUAUCAAUAAGCGGAGGAAAAGAAACCAACAGGGAUUCCCCUAGUAACGGCGAGUGAAGCGGGAAAAGCUCAAAUUUGAAAUCUCACUGGUUUCCAGUGCGAAUUGUAGUUUCAAGAAGCGUUUUCGGGGGCGACUCGGGUUGAAGUCUGUUGGAACGCAGUGCCAGAGAGGGUGAGAGCCCCGUUCGGCCUGAUGUUCGCUCCUGUAUGAUACGUUUUCAAAGAGUCGCAUAGUUUGGGAAUGCUGUGCAAAGUGGGUGGUAAAUAUCAUCUAAAGCUAAAUAUUGGCGAGAGACCGAUAGCGCACAAGUA